rnacentral:lncRNA from 1 species
UACACUGUAGAAGUGCUAUUAUAUGAAGAAAAAUGAAGAGAUAUAUAGUUGUAGUACCAGACAAGAAGAAGAAGAGAAGAAAAAAGAGAAUUUUUAGUAAAAUAUGUGGGAAAAAUGAAAGAAGACACAAAAAAAUUGCAAGAAAAUAAGCAAAAUUAAGAAGAUACUAAUCAAAUAAGUAGCUAAUCAUUGAAUUAUAUUUAAGAAUUAAGCUUGAAUGGUUUUUUGAAAUCUCUAAAGUAACGUAAAUUAUAAAUGACUUAAAUUUUAAAUGUAGAUAAUGAAUUCGGGUUAAAUUUUCGCGGAAAAUAAUGGAAGUGUUUGAAUUAAGGAUAGACAAUAUCUUACAGUGUUAGUUACCUUAGUGUUAGUAUUAGAAAAAAAAAA